AUACGUAGGGUGCGAGCGUUGUCCGGAAUUACUGGGCGUAAAGAGCUCGUAGGUGGUUUGUCGCGUCGUCUGUGAAAUUCAGGGGCUUAACUCCGGGCGUGCAGGCGAUACGGGCAUAACUUGAGUACUGUAGGGGAGACUGGAAUUCCUGGUGUAUCGGUGAAAUGCGCAGAUAUCAGGAGGAACACCGGUGGCGAAGGCGGGUCUCUGGGCAGUAACUGACGCUGAGGAGCGAAAGCAUGGGUAGCGAACAGGAUUAGAUACCCUGGUAGUCCAUGCCGUAAACGGUGGGCGCUAGGUGUAGGGGUCUUCCACGACUUCUGUGCCGUAGCUAACGCAUUAAGCGCCCCGCCUGGGGAGUACGGCCGCAAGGCUAAAACUCAAAUGAAUUGACGGGG
rnacentral:rRNA from 1 species